UGCCACAAGUACUCCUUUUCUUUUUGUUUUCUGACUGAAACUAUUCAGCAAAUUCAUGUCAAAUGUGCAAAUAGUUUUGGAUUGGCCGACACUGCAUUUUUUAAUGCAUAAUUUAUUUGCACAAGUCUACCAUCGAGAGUGAGCUAGUGGCUAGAACACUGGGCUGUCAGGACUCCUGGCUUCUCUUUCCAGUUCUACCACUGACUUGUGCAUGAUCUUAUUUACUUCUUUGUUAUUCAUUCAAGUUUGUUCUAUUAGUACACAUUGAGAGCCCAGGCCAAUCCCUGGCUACCCCAGAUAGAUUCUUGUGGCACAUCCAGACUCAGGCAAUUACACUACACUACACUGGCAGCAACAUAAACAUAACAAAAAUGCAGUAAAUCCAGCCAACAAAAUCAUCCCGAAUUCCCCUCCUAGAGCUCCCCAGCCUUGCUAUUCUCCUAACUCCUUUGAGCAAGUCAUUUAACCACUCUGUUCUCCAUCUGUAAAGCAGGCGGUACUGCCAGGACUUACGUGCUCACAGGAGUAUCAUGAGACUUCAUGUACUAAGGAUUUGGAAGCGCACUGAGAUACUUGGAUGACAUGAGUGUUAUGGGCUCCCUUCUGCAAGCUGCUCAGCAUUCUCUGCCGCGUCCAGCAAAGCACUAAGCCGACUGAUGCCACCACCAGACACGUCCCGUCAAAUGUGAACAAACUUCUCCAUGUGACCACUGACUAAUCAGCACAUCACAGAAUAAACCCUAUUCAAUUCACGACAGAAGCAGUCUGGUCUACAGAUAACUAGUCUUUUUAUUGUUGCAUAUUGACACAUCUUGUGCAUCUUCACAACUAGUAUCCAGUUUCUCUGAGUGACAGCUACAUUAAGCUGAUAAACAGAAGCCCAAAUCCUGGUCCCACUGAAGUCAGUGGCGAAAACAGUGCCUGUGGUCCUCAACCUUUUCCAUACCGUGACUCCACAUUACAACGGAAAAAUGCAUUGGGACCCCCUUUCCCACCGAACCAUAAAGAUUGGAGGGUAGUUGCAACCUCUGGGCCUGUUCAUACCCCCGAGCUAUGGACUAGGGGCUGGCAGCUUUCCAAGGAGUUCAGAGAUCAGCCUAGCUGAGGUGAGAAGCUAGCAAUAACCCUUUGCCCAGCAGCUCUCAAUACAACUCUGCAGACAGCCUCAACGUUAAUUCUACUGGUAUGUGCACAGCGUCACCGAUUGCAACAGUAGUCACAGUUGGUUGUUUUACUGACGGCCCUCCUAGCCAAUAGGAAUAUAGCAACUGUGUAGUAAUCCACUUUAGCUCACAUCCUCUGAACAAAUUAACCCUUGGGUUGCUGUAUUAAACUCACCAUGCAAAGCAUGUAUCUAACAAGUGCCAAAAGAUACGAGGGCAGUCCAAUACCUGACAAACAGAAAGAGCUAUGUAACUUUAUCCCUCAGAUUGUAAAGCUCAUCAUUUCCAUCCUCCAGAAAGGUUUAUGACAGGAUGUACAAUUGAUGUACGGUUACCCACAGAAAUUUAUUAUUAAAACAGAGGUUUAAAAAUAUGCAUGCAAAGGUUAAAAAUCGGUUUUGUUCAUGUAGAAUAUCUUUUUUUUUUAAAGCAUGAAACAGUCAUUUGCCAGGGUUUCAAAGCCAUCUGUUUUCAAAGCCUACCUUCCUUGUUGUUUACCACAGGCUGUCUAUCUGUUUUAACAACCUCCAGUGGGAUUUCACACACCUCAUUAUGCAAAAGUACUACUUAUGCAUUCACUCCAGCACUUGUCUAACUAAUCUGCACUCAUAACACCUUCCACGGAAGAUGCAGCAUCCCUCUUCAGAGGCUGCAGAUCAAAAACAAUAGUAGAUGGUGUCAUAGCAAGAGAAAACAUAGCCUCCUGCGUAUUACUGUUGUGAUACAGGUCUGAUCGGAGACGGCUUGGAGCUUAUAAAAGAAAACAGCAAACACAACCAUUCUGUCACAAGAGAUUUUGCAUUAUGUACAAGAUUAAAAGCUAGCGUUGUAUUUUUUUAAGCUUAGACAGACUAUUCUUCAUGGUCAAAAGGUUUUUAACCUUUGGUCUUUUAGGGCUUAAUUCUGACAAGGCGCUGAGCACUCCCAGCUUGCGCUGAUUAAAGGCACUCAGUAUGUCAUUUUAACAACAUAUCACUCGCAAGCUUUCCAUCUGUACCAAGCGGCUCUGACCUCUGACAGAGCAUUAAACUGCUGUUUACAGCCUCCUUUCGCCUCCCACUGCUCCCUCCCUCCAGAUAUGUUCACAUAAUUGGCAGAUCAUUGACAACAACAGACCUUCAGGACUGCUAUGGUCUGUCAUGUCAAGGCCUGCUUGGGAACCCUUUAAACACACAUCCUUGACAUAAACCAUCAUGUUAAGAGCUUGCUGGGAGGCUUUAAUUCAUGAAUUAUUAACAUGAUAGACUAUAAUAUCUGGAGCCGUUAUGGUCUAUCACACCAGGUUAGCUGCUGCGCAUCCUCACUAGCUAUGUAGAAGUUUUUUUAAAUUACCCCCAUUGACAUAUUUGAUCAGGUGUAUUUAGAGGUUUCCAGGUUAAACGUCUCAGAAUUCUUUUUAAUUAUUCCCCCCCUCCAAACUCCUCCCCCCUCCACCCCCCCAAAAACAAAUCCACAUUGUCUGGAAAAUACUGAAGACCUCUUGGCAUUUCUGUUUAUUGUAAGUCUAGAACUAAAAACAAAAAUGGUUGCUGCCCAACUGAUUUUACACUAAAUUUAGUUUAGAAAGGUUAGGAAAAAACUUUCUCCUGGACUAAACACUUGCAAUUCAAGUUAGCCAUUAUAGCUCAGUAUCAGGAAAGCCUGAAUUUUUAACUGCUGGGGUGGGGGAUAGGGGGCAGGAUACCUUGUCUGUAGAUAGCACUUUUCAUCCACAGAGCUCCUUUGUAAAGUACUUUGAGAUAAGCAUCAUCCCCCUUCUACACAUUGGGAACUGAGACAAGAAGUAACUUUCAAGUUCAUCUGGCAGAUCCGAGACUAGAACCCUUGUCUGCCGAGUACCACUCCAUCUCGCUACCCUCUGGGCCACACUGCCUCUCACUAAUGGUUAACAAAUGAUUUCUUUUUUUCCUGAUUUAGAAGGGGAUUAACAAAUUAAAGGUUGAAUUAGGAUUCGAGCUGGGUGACGUUUUUCAAGCAAAUUUUUUUUUCCAGUGACAAUUGCAGAUUCAGCAACAUUGAAAUGUUUUGUAAAUUCGUGUUGGUUUUGCUGAAUUACUUGAGUAAAAAUUAAAUUUAAAAAAAGGCCCAAUGUGUAAAAUAUUCUACCAUUGUAUCUUUUGGUGAUUUCCUUUUAAACAUUUUUUACCCUUCUUCCUCCACCCACUCCCAUUCACCACCUUAUUUUCCUGCCUUUUUUUUUUUUUUUAAGACCCCUCCCCAGUUCCUGUGUCUGAUGGCUAACAAGCAUGACAAUGCAUGUAAUGUAACAAGGGAGUUUCACAGCUCCUGGUAAGAGCAAUUUCACUGACAAGUUUAAUUUGUCCUUGUUGUUUCCAUUUAUAGUCCCCUUUGAAUAAUCAUAUAACAUGACUUGUUUCAUCAAGUCCUCAAAGUCCCAGAGCAGCUGGCUUCAGCACAGGCAGCUUGUGUUCGAGUAUUGAUAGUCGCUCUCUCAGUCUUGGCUAAGAUAACGAUUUGAGCGGUCAUGCAAUUUUUGUACUGAAUUAUCUCGUCUCAAGAGCAAAUGGUGAUAAUGUUAAUAUCUCAAGAGACAUGAACACAGUGUCAACAUUUGCAUCGUUCCCUGCCUCAGUUUUCCAUAUGUAAAAUGGAGAUAGUAUUACCCACAUUUGUAAUGCACUUUGGUCUUUAAUAACACCCUUUACUAGAAGAGCUCAUGUUUUAUAAUUAAUUCUAGAUCCUAUGUAUACAAUAUAUUCUAGAGAAACAUUAAGUAGAUGUACUGCAUUAUUUGUCUUCGUUAUGGUAUAAUUAUUUCCCCUUCCCCCUCUGUAUUUAUCUUUCCAAUCCUCUCUUUCCUCACUCAGUUUCUCCAAAAGCUCCUGGGUACUUGUGUCCACAAUACAGGCGCAAUUGGAUAAAUAAGCAAAUCCCUCUCAAAUUUUCCUUGUGUAACAACACAGAGAUGCGAGUGAUCCUAUGAACAAUGUCAAUAUAUUAGGAGGCCCCAUCUCACAUAUAUGGGGGUACUGUGUUAAAAAACAUAUUUAAACACUGUUUAGAUAUGCAGAGCUCACUCCACAGGUUACUGGAGCCCUGUGCUCAUAGACUUUAAAUCAAGAUUUGAGGACUCCAGUAUCUCAGCCAGAGGUUAUGGGCCUACUAUAGGAGUGCAUGGGUAUGGUCUUGUGGCCUGCAAUCAGACUAGAUGGUCUGGCUUUAAAGACUUCCGCUUAAACUGGACCAGGCUGGCUUUCAGCAGGUGUGAACACCACUUUCACCAGAACAAUUUCAGCCAGCAGAAUGACAAUCUGAACAGCACUAAAAUGAUUCAGACAAAUGGUCCUUCCUCCUGUUGCCUUGACCUGCACCACUGGCCUUCAGAAUCUCCCAGAAUCUGCUGCUUCUGGGACCUGUGCCCCGAACUAUGGGACAGCCCCCAGCAGGGACACUGCAACUGAAACAAUUCAGAACGGCACGGAUAUGGACAUGGGGCAAAAACGGAGAGUCGCAGAGGGAUGCACCGAAAUGGUUGUGCUUCAGCGGGCAUUGUCCCAUCCAUCACUUCAUUUAGGAACAGUUCAAUUCUCUUGGGUAGUGCUGGCCGAGGGGGCCAGAGCUGAAAAUCUGGAUACUUCUCACUUUGUCAGACACAAUAGAAGACUCCCCCCUCCUUGUCAUGCUGUUUUCCCAGAAUGGCUUCCUGGUUUUAUUUCCAUCACUUAACUUUUUUACGACAAUGGGUUGUUGACCUAUCACUCAGGCCCCAACCUAGAGAACCAAGGGACUGCUUUUUGUUCCUAUCCUUUCACCUGUCUGGCUUGGAUGUCUCUCCAUUGACCAGCAUAGCUCUCAGGGUCACUGGAACACACAAGCCUUCCCACCACGUCAAGGUGCACUUCUCAGGGAAGGGGCAUUGAGAACCUGAAACUCUGGGUAUGCCUACACAGCAAUGAGAGGUGUGACUGCAGCAUGUGUAGACAGACCCAAGCCAACUUUGAUCCAGCUAGCUUGAGUAACAAGAGCAGUGAAGUCGUGGCAUCGUGGGCUGUACAAUCCCACCUAGAACCCGUGGUGUUUAUCCAAGUGGCUAACCUGCAUGGCCAUGGCUUCACCGCUAUUGUUGUUGGAGCUAGCUAAAUCAAAGCUAGCUCAGGUAUGCCUCCGCAUGCUGCAUUCAUACCUCUGAUAGCAGCAUACACAUACCCUAGGUCAGCAAUCUUCUCGAAUGCCCUUUUCUAGUCCCACCCAUGGUGUAAUCUAGAAAACGGUUUUGUUUUGCCCACAUACUGGCCAUUUAAAACCCAAUAGAAGCCAGGCUACCAGACAAGUUGUUUAUUUAAACAGAGUUUUCAAAUAUGCAGUACUGGGAGCCUAAAAUCAUUGCUCUUUGAGGAGUUAAAAUGGUGUGUAUUUCAACACUGCUAAGGUUGUCGCAGAUAGACAAGAGCUCAGAUAUUCCAUGGUGGAGCCAACGCUUUGUUCCUAAAUCACCCCUUGUGAGCAGCCAAACAGAUUGUUAUUUUUAUUUAACUUGCUACAACAAUUCCACUUCUGGGCUGAGACCAAGUGUAAGAAAUUUCAGCUCAAAGGAAAUAAAUGCCUCUUGAUAGUGCCUGAGUAUUGGUUCAAUAGCCAGUAACGCCUCUGAUGUAGAUGUGUGUUUAGGAUUGGGCAAGCUCUCAGAAGCAUAUUUAUCCAUCAUUCAAUACUGAUUCCUUCAACUGCUGAUGUAACAGUAGAAAGAGACACCAUCAAGCAGGCUGCCCUGCAUCACUCAGUCUUGCUGUAUCCCUGCCCCACAUGCACCAUGUUUUCAUGAUCUGUUUAGGGCCAGCUUACUCUGCUAACACUUGCACAUUAGUCAAACAGCAGGAAUAAGACUGGCAGAAUCUUCCCCUUAGGCUGUAAGUUCUCCAGGGCAGUGAACAUUGUCCUCUGACUAGUCUGUAAAGCACCUGCACCCUAUUGGAGCUAUAGCAAUAAGAAGUGCUUCAUAUGUUUUUACGUUGUGUCAACUUCUAUAGAACAAACAUUCAUUUUCCCUUUCUUUCUCUAAAACAUUCUUCAUUUUGGUUCCAUAUUAAAAUAAAAAAAUAGAGGGUCAGAACUAGAUCUCUGAAGAUGGAUAUAAAUCUCUCUCCUUAGGUUUCUAAUGAAGCUUGAAAUUAACAUGUUUUUUUAUUUCAUCGUCAUCUCUCAGAGAUUUUCAACUCUUUAGGACAAGAACCCAUUCCUUCCUGUUCUACAUGCCGUACAGUACAUCAUCACUACUCAGUAAAUAAAUAAUUAGCUAGGUCUUCACUGCUUUAAGAGGAAACACAUGAGACAAAUUACAAGAUAAGCCAUAGGAUCUUGGAGACAGCGUGUUGGACUUAUUUAAUAAGUUUGCACAAAUGAAAAGUUAUUCCUCUAUAGAGUCUAACCCUUUUCAAGCAGGUCAAUGAUUAAGCCUGAACUAUUUUAAAAUGUCUAUUAAACAUUAAAGUAGGGAAUGGCGAUGCUACACAAACCCUGAGUGCCAGAGAGUGAGCUGUUUAGGGUUAUGUAUCCACCCUAGAGUUAAGUCUUACUAUGUUUGCUGGGGAGAACCUAGACAAAAUAUUUUGCCCUGUUUAUCUAAUCUUCAGUACCUACAUGGCUCCCAUUAUUGUAAUCUAUUUGCCCUCAGAGCACUGCAUAGGGAGGUCCUAUUAUUCCCAUUUUAGGGAUGGGGAACCAGGGCACUGAGAGGUUAAUGACUUGCCCAAGAUCAUACAGGAGGUCUGUGAAAGAGCAGGGAAUUGAAUCUAGGAGUUUUGAGUGCCAGACUAAUGCCAUUGUAUUAUGUACUGUAUUCUCCUUGUACCUUACGUUAGGAAUGGGUCCAAACCCAAUUCCCAAGUCUAGAUCUGAAAUUUAUAUCUCUGUGACAGGCAAAACCAAAAAUCUCAUACUCAAAAUUUCCUCAACUUUGUUAGUUCAUAAUCAAACUUUCACAAAGUUUGGGAUGUUUGUGUUAGCCCACUUUAGGGAGAGAGGUUUGAGUUGCAAACUUGAAUCUGGAUUUUGGGUCUGGAGUUUUGAUUCCAGUGGAGACAAAUCUUUAGUAUGCAGCUUACUGUAUUGUAAACAGCGGCCACCACAUUGUCCACAGCACACAGAUGAAAGCUUCAUGCAUGUCCCUCUAAUGCCAGCACAGGCAACUUGUACAGUCGUUAGGCAUCAAAAUAGAAAUCUCUCUAAUUUGACACCUUACAUUACACCAUCGUUUUUAGAGCUAGCUGGGAAACAGCAUUUCCAUUUCACAGGAUAUUCUGACAUUUAAAAAAAAUUAUCCCGAAUAAGAACGAAAAGUUGAAAAUUUGUAAUUAAUUGUGAAACAAAAAAAUUCUGAAAUAUUUCAUUUCAGAAAUAUUGAAGCAACUUCAUUGCAAUGUUUCCUUUCCACAAGAUCAGAAUGCUUUUUUCCAACUGUAUCAUUAUGAUAUAUAUAUUUUAUAUAUGUAUACUGUAUUACAUGUGCUGAAAUGAUAACUUUAAAAUAAAGCAUUAUGACCUUAUCAAAA